ACCUGAUGAUGUGGGCAUUUAUGGAAUAGGUCCCUAAAGCAUUCCCAAGUCUCAAAAAAGAGUUCCCCAUCCAUAUGUGAGAAGCUCAUGAUGGUUCUCCCAAGCU